GGGCCCGCACAAGCGGUGGAGCAUGUGGUUUAAUUCGAUGAUACGCGAGGAACCUUACCAGGGCUUAAAUGUAACGGGACAGAUCUAGAGAUAGAUCCUUCUUCGGACUCAUUACAAGGUGCUGCAUGGUUGUCGUCAGCUCGUGUCGUGAGAUGUUCGGUUAAGUCCGGCAACGAGCGCAACCCACAUCCCUAGUUGCCAGCAGUUCGGCUGGGCACUCUAUGGAAACUGCCCGUGAUAAGCGGGAGGAAGGUGUGGAUGACGUCAAGUCCUCAUGGCCCUUACGGGUUGGGCUACACACGUGCUACAAUGGUAGUGACAAUGGGU
rnacentral:rRNA from 1 species